rnacentral:lncRNA from 1 species
GUACUUUCCCUGUUUCAAGCUCUUGUUAGAAUGGUUGAACUCCUGGCAAUCUUGAUCACAAACCUUGACAGCUGCUCCGGUUAGCAUCGUUGUCUCUCCUUAUAACUCUCCUUAUGGUUGACAUCCUGAAAAUUUGUAUAUAGUGCAUGGCCUAGCAAGCGAACACAUACUUCUGAAUGAUCGCCUCCAGCAAUCACACUCUGCUCCAGUGUCCCAGUGGCUCCAUCGGUCAGGUAAACUGGCCGCUUCUUCCGACAUGGGACGCCCGUUUCUUUGUUCUGCAAAAGAACAAACCAAGAUUUUACCGCGCUUAACAUAGGAAACAUCCAGCAAUCUCACUCUCCUUGAGCAUCUCGGUGUUUUUCGCUAAGUAAAGUUCCCGCGUCUCACCGAUGCCCAUUUCUUUCUUCUGCAAAGAGCAAACCAGGAUACAGCAAAUGCGAAAGCUCUAGACUUCUGAUCUUUCCAGCGCUCUAGGAACAUGCCGAUGAUCAAGAAUCACAAACCUCGAUGCCAGCGGUCACCAGCCUCACGAUCUUGCAAGAAGCCACAUCGCUCAGUGAAAUUCCCCGAUUACAAGCCGCGGUAUUUCCAUGUGCUUCAUCUGAGCUGCCUACUUCCUUGUCCUGCAAAGAAGAAUAAAAUCCACCAUGACCAGCGCCAGAAUCACCGCAAAAAAUGUAGCACUGCGCCUCAUGAUGCGAUCGCGAUCAUCCGGGCGCUCUAAAGAACCCUAAAGCUUGAGAAUUCCGCCGUCUGAGCUACGG